GGAUUAAGAGCUUGCUCUUAUGAAGUUAGCGGCGGACGGGUGAGUAACACGUGGGUAACCUGCCCAUAAGACUGGGAUAACUCCGGGAAACCGGGGCUAAUACCGGAUAACAUUUUGAACCGCAUGGUUCGAAAUUGAAAGGCGGCUUCGGCUGUCACUUAUGGAUGGACCCGCGUCGCAUUAGCUAGUUGGUGAGGUAACGGCUCACCAAGGCAACGAUGCGUAACCGACCUGAGAGGGUGAUCGGCCACACUGGGACUGAGACACGGCCCAGACUCCUACGGGAGGCAGCAGUAGGGAAUCUUCCGCAGUGGACGAAAGUCUGACGGAGCAACGCCGCGUGAGUGAUGAAGGCUUUCGGGUCGUAAAACUCUGUUGUUAGGGAAGAACAAGUGCUAGUUGAAUAAGCUGGCACCUUGACGGUACCUAACCAGAAAGCCACGGCUAACUACGUGCCUACAG
rnacentral:rRNA from 1 species